GCAGACACACUCUGUUCUUUGCUGCACACUUCAGCAUGGAACUUUUUCUGUCUGCUACAUAAACAUGCAGAAUAUAACACUUCAAUGGUUUUCUAGACUGCUGAGUCAGUUAUGUUCUGCUACAUUACA
ensembl:snoRNA small nucleolar RNA SNORA77